rnacentral:rRNA from 1 species
CCUACGGGUGGCAGCAGUGGGGAAUAUUUCACAAUGGGGGAAACCCUGAUGCAGCGACGCCGCGUGAGUGAAGAAGUAUUUCGGUAUGUAAAGCUCUAUCAGCAGGAACGAGACAAGACGGUACCUGACUAAGAAGCCCCGGCUAACUACGUGCCAGCAGCCGCGGUAAUACGUAGGGGGCAAGCGUUAUCCGGAUUUAGUGGGUGUAAAGGGAACGUAGACGGCAGUGCAAGUCUGGAGUGAAAGGCGGGGGCUCAACCCCCGGACUGCUCAGGAAACUGUACGGCUGGAGUGCAGGAGAGGUAAGUGGAAUUCCUAGUGUAGCGGUGAAAUGCGUAGAUAUUAGGAGGAACACCAGUGGCGAAGGCGGCUUACUGGACUGUAACUGACGUUGAGGCUCGAAAGCGUGGGGAGCAAACAGGAUUAGAUACCCUGGUAGAC